rnacentral:rRNA from 1 species
UACGUAGGGUGCGAGCGUUAAUCGGAAUUACUGGGCGUAAAGCGUGCGCAGGCGGUUCUGAAAGUCAGCUGUGAAAGCCCCGGGCUUAACCUGGGAAUUGCGGUUGAAACUACAGGGCUAGAAUCUGGCAGAGGGGGGUGGAAUUCCACGUGUAGCAGUGAAAUGCGUAGAGAUGUGGAGGAACACCGAUGGCGAAGGCAGCCCCCUGGGCUGAGAUUGACGCUCAGGCACGAAAGCGUGGGGAGCGAACGGG